rnacentral:rRNA from 1 species
CGGACGGGUGAGUAACGCGUGAGAAUCUGGCUUCAGGUCUGGGACAACCACUGGAAACGGUGGCCAAUACCGGAUGUGCCGAGAGGUGAAAGGUUAACUGCCUGAAGAUGAGCUCGCGUCUGAUUAGCUAGUUGGAAGUGUAAUGGACUCCCAAGGCGACGAUCAGUAGCUGGUCUGAGAGGACGAUCAGCCACACUGGGACUGAGACACGGCCCAGACUCCUACGGGAGGCAGCAGUGGGGAAUUUUCCGCAAUGGGCGAAAGCCUGACGGAGCAAUACCGCGUGAGGGAGGAAGGCUCUUGGGUCGUAAACCUCUUUUCUCAGGGAAGAACAAAAUGACGGUACCUGAGGAAUAAGCAUCGGCUAACUCCGUGCCAGCAGCCGCGGUAAUACGGAGGAUGCAAGCGUUAUCCGGAAUGAUUGGGCGUAAAGCGUCCGCAGGUGGCUAUGUAAGUCUGCUGUUAAAUAGUGAGGCUCAACCUCAUAAAGGCAGUGGAAACUACACGGCUAGAGUGCGUUCGGGGCAGAGGGAAUUCCUGGUGUAGCGGUGAAAUGCGUAGAGAUCAGGAAGAACACCGGUGGCGAAAGCGCUCUGCUAGGCCGCAACUGACACUGAGGGACGAAAGCUAGGGGAGCGAAUGGGAUUAGAUACCCCAGUAGUC